AUUUGAUGAUGUGGACAUUGUAUCUGUAACUUCUGUAUGCUUCCAAGCUUCGAAGAAUUCCUCCGUAUGCUUCUGUCUAAAAGUCUGGAUCUUGUUUCUUAACU